UUAUGAUGGGCAGUUUAUAAAGUUGGGUGGCGAUUCAACCCUCUAACUUCCCAAAACCUCUUUCAAUUAAUUCACCAUCUGUCAACACUGUGUAUUCUGUACUCAACCAUUCUAGGGUUCUUAAUUACCCUCUCACUGUAUUUAAUCUUUAUCUUAAAUAGUAAUUACCCCCGCAAUCGCUCAGUAACUCUUCGAAGGCCCUCAGCAGUUGCACAGAAUGGUGGUGGGACACACUCUUGGCAGUGUGCCCCAUACCCUUGUCAAGAGAGUUUCAGCGUGUACCAAAUUUUGCUUCUUUAGGGCCAAAGAUCUAUACAAGCGUUGUUGUCAGCUAGCAGUAAUUCUGAACAUGAAUCAAGUUUUCCAAGGGGACGAUUGUAGUGCUCCUUCAGUACCAGCAGCGAAGCGGGGACGUGGCCGCCCUAGGAAAGAUCCAAACUUAAAGCGUGUUAAAACUGCACGUGGACCUCCUGGUUUUGCAGGAGCGCAAGGAAACCACCGUCCCCAUAAGGUGGAUAGAGUAGAUGGAAAUGACAAUAUGGUUGGCCAGGCAGUGACUGGGGUUGUUGAGGCCACUUUUGAUGCUGGCUAUGUGCUCACUGUUAGAAUCGGCAACUCCAAUACAACUUUGAGAGGUAUUGUUUUCAAGCCAGGACAUUAUGUUCCCGUUACAGCUGAAAAUGACAUAGCCCCACAUGUUCAAAUGAUCAGAAGAAAUGAUAUACCUUUCUCAGCUUCAAACCAUCCUUGGUCACGUGCCCAGAAACUUGCAAUUCAGGCAGCUGGUACAGUAGGCGCAAAACGCAAAUACACAUCUCCGAAGGUAGUUUCUUCUGUUCCUCCAGUGGGCGUGAGGGGCACUGUGGUUCCUGUUGUAUUGCAACCUGUCAAUCCAUCGGGUGGGCUGCCAACUUCCAGCCAAAUGUCUUCUGGUGCAUCCCAAGCUGCUCCUAUGUUGUUUUUGGAAGAUAAAGAUGUGGAGACGGUUGAACCAUUAGCUAUGUUGCCACCUGUUCAAUCUAUACCUGCUGGCCAGAUUCCAAUUGCCGUACAACCCCAAUUUGGGCACCAAGCUGCGCAAGAAAGUGUCCAGCAUGAAAAUGCUUCAUCAGAAGAGUGCACGCCUGAGGUUGAAAAAGGAGAAAAAGGCAUGGAAUCAAUAGAGUUACAAAUGGCAGGCUCUUCAAGAUCUUCAGAGGUUCACAAAAAAAAUGAAGAGGAUACAUGGGAACCUUCACCUGAAGAUUAUGGUGUCAAUGAAUCCUUCUCAACUGUGCCCCCACAAACUGCAUCUGUCUCGACACCGCUGUACAAUUAUGGAACUGGAAGGAUGACUGAACUUUUGCAGGCUUUACAGGAAAAUAUGAAGGAGAUUCCCCUUCCCGUACCUGAACAUCCAACUUCUGCAUCUUCUGCUUCAGAAGUUGAGUUUCAUGAAUCUAAGAGUGCUGAAACUGAUCCAAAAGAAUGAGCCAAGUCAAAAGUAUGCCCGUGAUCUCCUAUAUGUCGUACUUCCAACAAUUUCUAGUGCACUACUUAAGAUUACAGAAGGGUUUAGUUUAUGACUUGGAGACUCGAAAGCCACAACAGGGGAAGUUUUUCUCAAACACAAGAAUAUUUAAAAUGGUCUUUAGUUACAUAGGUGUUUUUUAAUCUUAUAGACCCUUCCUCCGUUGAAUAUUUUGUUUUUUCGCUGUUAUGCUUACAAUCUCCUCCCCUUGAUCUUUUUGUGCAUGUUUUAUGGAAUAUUUCGUUUUAUUUCUGUUUUGCUUUACAAUCUCCUCCUUUUGAUUUUUCAUGCUUGUUUUGUGCUCAAUUACUCGUAAAAUCUCAUAGGUGUGCACUGCUUUCCCUUCCCAGAGUCGAAGAACCACCAAAAUUAUAUAGUCGAAGCCCUUGAUUCACAUCUGUUGAUUUUCUACAAGUGUACAAGAAUUAGUGAAUUGUGUCCCACAAGGAACAAAGAAAAGAAUACCAAGCAAAAAUAUAGACAACAAAUUUAAUUAUCUUUUGCGAAGGCUCCACUCAUUCUCCAGAGGACGAGUUACGUAUUUACUAUUCCUGUUUUUAAAUUUUAUGAGUUUUGACAACAUUGUAUAUCAAAUCUGAUGAACAUUGUUUUAUCAUAUUCAACUCUUUCAAAUAGUUAAAAGAUCCACAAUUUUUCGUAA